CCUAACUGUAACCUUAGCAAGCAGUUGCUUAUCGACAGAUAGUCAACACUGUAUCGAAAUGUGGGGGGGGUCGGCAUGGGCAGUUAGGGAAGGCAUGGGCAGUUAUGGAAGGCAUGGGCAGUUAUGGAAGGCAUGGGCAGUUAUGGAAGACAUGGGCAGUUAUGGAAGGCAUGGGCAGUUAUGGAAGGCAUGGGCAGUUAUGGAAGACAUGGGCAGUUAUGGAAGGCAUGGGCAGUUAUGGAAGGCAUAGGCAGUUAUGGAAGGCAUGGGCAGUUAUGGAAGACAUGGGCAGUUAUGGAAGGCAUGGGCAGUUAUGGAAGGCAUGGGCAGUUAUGGAAGGCAUGGGCAGUUAUGGAAGGCAUGGGCAGUUAUGGAAGACAUGGGCAGUUAUGGAAGACAUGGGCAGUUAUGGAAGGCAUGGGCAGUUAUGGAAGACAUGGGCAGUUAUGGAAGGCAUGGGCAGUUAUGGAAGGCAUGGGCAGUUAUGGAAGGCAUGGGCAGUUAUGGAAGGCAUGGGCAGUUAUGGAAGGCAUAGGCAGUUAUGGAAGACAUGGGCAGUUAUGGAAGACAUGGGCAGUUAUGGAAGACAUGGACAGUUAUGGAAGGCAUGGGCAGUUAUGGAAGACAUGGGCAGUUUUUCGGAUGACGGACAAGGCUUUGAGCUAGUCUUUGUAACUGUGGGCCCUUGCAUGUGUCUGACUGAGGACUCAGAGCAUAGCAGACACAGGAGAAGUCUGUGUUCCUGGAGUCAUGGAAGGCUUAAAAAGGCAGGGCCCAGUUUUCCACACCACUGAAUGCAGAGGCCCACCCCACUCCCGAC
ensembl:lncRNA